GCUCACUUCAGCAACGCAUAUACUAAAAUUGGAAUGAUACAGAGAUUAGCAUGGGUCCUGUGUAAGGAUAAACAUACAAAUUUAUCAAGUGUUCCAUGUUUAA